rnacentral:lncRNA from 1 species
UCCUCUUCUGCUUCAAGUAAGUUUCUUUUAACAAGAGUUUGUGCUUACUUUGUUUGCAACAUUUAAGAAUUGAUCUUCUCAAUAUCUCCUACUAACAAAAUACAUAUUCCAUCUUACAUUCUUUUCUUUAUUCUAUGCAUCUUAAAUUCUGUGAGAUAUACACGUACUGUACAUUUCCCCCGGGCAUAUAGAGGUCGAUCCUCAAUUCUUUAUUUUAUCUUUAUAAUAAACUAAUUGCUGAUGCUUUAAAUGAUCUUCACCACUCUCUCUAUGCCCUUCUAUAUAUUGUUUUCAUUUAGAGCAUUGUGACAGAAUGAUUGCGUUACUAUUGUGCCGGCUGAUGUUCAGCAUAUAUAUCAGCAAUGUAGUCCGCUUAGAUAAAACAAUUUUUCUCUUCAUAAAACAAUGACACAAUCAAACCUGGAUGACCAAGAUACCGAAAUUACUCUCUUCCCCAGUAUCCUACCAAUUUACAUUCACUCUCUUCUGAAUCGUUGAUUUAUGUAAUCAGGAAGAACAUUUGCUGUUAUUUGCUUGAUCUGAAUUGUUCAUCAAUUUAAUCAUGAAAAUUUAUGUCAAUUAUCUAAUCAGGAAGAAACUUGGGUACUCUUCUCACUCUACUUUGCACAAUCCUUCUUUGGUUGAACUGGCACACCAUGGGGAUUUUAUUCAGAAUCAAAGGUUACACUUAAUUGAACAUACAUGAUACAUUUUGUGAACUGACUUUUAAGGUACAUGAUGUAGCUUUCCUGGUUCCCCAUCUAUAAUUGAAAAAAUACAUUGAUCAGAAUAUUCCUUUUUUGACAUUACAGUGAUAGCAGAUUAUGUGGUUGAAGAAUAUAUGUAUGUACGUGAAGGGUGGAUAGUUUGACUGUUUUAGUUGUUUCUCCAUACUUGUAUUUCAUCUGAUCCAAAUUCUUGCCUUCAAGUUGGCCUACGAUGUGCUAUGACUGAUGUUAGAAAUUAACCAUGCUCUGAUCUGUGUGUAUCAGUUCUCUUGGUAGGAAUUAAGCAGCCGUACGUAACCACUUAAAUGUCACUGGUACCAUAUUUAACCAUGCUCUAUCCAUUCUGAUUUGCAUGUAUGUGCAAGUCCUUUUUUCCAUGAAAGUAGCAGGAGCUGCUAUUUUAUUGGCAAUAUGAGGAAAUGGCUCAUAUGAGAAAAACUAAGUUGGAAAAUACAGGGACUGCAAUCAUGUAUAAAAAUUAUAGAUGUGAACUUACAGAUAAUUAGACAUAUAUGUACUCUAAAGAAGGUGCAUGUAUGAUUUGUUGCCGAUUGUCUGUAAUUUGCAUUUGUCUUUUUCGUACAGAAAUCGGUGUAUCGCAUAUCUUUAUCAACCGGGUGCAUCUUCUUCUCGAUCUGGUGAGGGUGACCUUGUUAACAAAGAUUAUACUGCUUUCUCAAAUGUGAAAUGUCAUGUUCUCCACAAGUAUAUUAUCUUUCUCCCUUUUAUAUUUAGUGAUUAUAGUGUUUCCCCAUGAUUUUAUAUUAGACUUUUUUAUCGCAGCCAUUGCACAUGAAUAGUGUACUACUGAGACAAUAGAUUAUU